rnacentral:rRNA from 1 species
UACGUACGAGGCGAGCGUUAUCCGGAAUUACUGGGCGUAAAGCGCGCGCAGGCGGACCAUUAAGUUGGGCGUGAAAUCUCCCGGCCUAACUGGGAGGGGUCGCCCAAGACUGGUGGUCUUGAGGACAGCAGAGGUGGGUGGAAUUCCUGGUGUAGUGGUGAAAUGCGUAGAUAUCGGGAGGAACACCAGUGGCGAAGGCGACUUCCUGGCCUGUUCUUGACGCUGAGGCGCGAAAGCUAGGGGAGCAAACGGG